rnacentral:rRNA from 1 species
UACGGGGGGAGCAAGCGUUGUUCGGAUUUACUGGGCGUAAAGGGCGCGUAGGCGGCCACCGCAAGUCAAUUGUGAAAUCUCCGGGCUUAACUCGGAAAGGUCAACUGAUACUGCGGGGCUAGAGUGCGGAAGGGGCAACUGGAAUUCUCGGUGUAGCGGUGAAAUGCGUAGAUAUCGAGAGGAACACCUGCGGCGAAGGCGGGUUGCUGAGCCGACACUGACGCUGAUGCGCGAAAGCCAGGGGAGCGAACGGG